rnacentral:lncRNA from 1 species
AUGUUAAUGCCAACAAUUAACAUGAACAUAAAAUGGUCUAAUUGUAGGAAAUCUGAAAAAGAGAAGACAAACAAAGAAACUGAGACAGAAAGUGGAAAUGAAAACUCCGGCUACAAUUCAGAUGAACAAAAGACCACAGAAACUGCUUCUCUCCCUCCCAAAUCCUGUGAAUCCAGUGAUCCUGAACAAAGAAACAGUAGCUGUGGCCCUCCUCACCAGGUUUUAAUUUAUUCAUGGCAGAUGACCUCACAGCAUGUUGCCCAUCUGGCAGAGCUACCUUGGAGCAAUUUUAAUCCGCGGAGCUUAAAGCCGUUUGAUCUCCCUCAUACUUUCCAUUCUCAGAGGCUGAGUAAUUCAAGUAAGACGUACCAGUUCAAUUUUCCUCCCAGGGAAAGAAAGGAAAUGACCUUUCUGGAAAAAAGUAGGAGAACAUCUCAGAGGGAGGUUUUGGGGAGAAAAAAAUCACAAGGUUACAAAGAACUCAACAAGGGCAGUAGAAAAUCAUUGUCCUCCACCACAAAGCUCUGCCAACAUGAUGACUGUAAAGUCACGAUGGCAAGAGAACCCUUUCUUUCCCCUUCCUGGGAACAAUUUUAUUUGACCUCUAGAAACUUUUUGCAAGGGGCAAAAAUCCAUCUGGACUUAGAGGUGAGCAGCAGAAGCUAUUUCCACCUGCAUUCGGAAAGCCAAGCUCUAUGGGGACAGGGCAGGAGCAAGCCGAGAAAGACAUUCGUGUGUAGAGUUUCAAAGUCUUCCAAAAAUGACCAAGACCAACCAAAAGCCUGCGGACACCUUCCCCUUCUGCGGGGGUCUGACGCCCUUCCUUUCAAAGAUGUUAAUAAUUCAGUCCACAGAUGGGCCACUGUCUCAUGCCAAAUAACUUGCCCUCCUUAAAUCCAGAGCACCGGCAGGCAGGUGUUGGGUGUGGCUGCCCUUGCACCCAAGUUUUCCAAAAUGAGAAGAGAAGAGUGUGGGCAAAGGUAUAUUUUUAUCUUCACCCCUUUUCUCAACUUCAAGAAAUAAUUAUUGAGGCCUUUUAAAAACACAUUAAUUCCCUUGUCUGAAUAGAGAUUGAAAUUUGUUAACUG